GACGAACGCUGGCGGCGUGCUUAACACAUGCAAGUCGAACGGAAAGGCCCUGCUUUUGUUGGGUGCACGAGUGGCGAACGGGUGAGUAACACGUGAGUAACCUGCCCCUGUCUUUGGGAUAACUCCAGGAAACUGGGGCUAAUACCGGAUAUGAGCUCCUGCUCCAUGGUGGGGGUUGGAAAGUUUCGGCGGUUGUGGAUGGUCUCGCGGCUUAUCAGCUUGUUGGUGGGGUAGUGGCUUACUAAGGGUUUGACGGCUAGCCGGCCUGAGAAGGUGGCCAGGGACAUUGGGCCUACGAGACGGCGCAGACUCGUACGGGAGGCAACAGUGGAGAGUAUGGCAGAGUGAGGGGGAGCCUGAGACGGAGACGUCGCGUGCGGGAUGACGGGCUUCUGGUUGUAAACCGCUUUCGCCGGAAACGUAGCGGGAGUGACGGUAAUGGGUAAAGAAGCACCGGCUAACUACGUG
rnacentral:rRNA from 1 species